rnacentral:lncRNA from 1 species
CACCCAUCAGUAUUCUGGUCCCACAAGUUACCCAAAAUAAGAAAUCACCUCCGAUGCUUCUUCUCUUCGUCUUCCUCCCAAGUUCCCAAUCGAUCUAUGGGGAGAGAUCCCCAAAUUAGAAAUCCAUGGCGCUGGGAGUGGGACACCACCAUCCUCCUCAUACUAGCUCCAUCUUCUUCCCCUUCAAUCAGAAAUCAGAA